rnacentral:rRNA from 1 species
GACGAACGCUGGCGGCGUGCUUAACACAUGCAAGUCGAACGGAAAGGCCCUGCUUUUGUGGGGUGCUCGAGUGGCGAACGGGUGAGUAACACGUGAGUAACCUGCCCUUGACUUUGGGAUAACUUCAGGAAACUGGGGCUAAUACUGGAUAGGAGCUCCUGCUGCAUGGUGGGGGUUGGAAAGUUUCGGCGGUUGGGGAUGGACUCGCGGCUUAUCAGCUUGUUGGUGGGGUAGUGGCUUACCAAGGCUUUGACGGGUAGCCGGCCUGAGAGGGUGACCGGCCAAAUUGGGACUGAGAUACGGCCCAGACUCCUACGGGAGGCAGCAGUGGGGAAUAUUGCACAAUGGGCGGAAGCCUGAUGCAGCAACGCCGCGUGCGGGAUGACGGCCUUCGGGUUGUAAACCGCUUUCGCCUGUGACGAAGCGUGAGUGACGGUAAUGGGUAAAGAAGCACCGGCUAACUACGUG